rnacentral:lncRNA from 1 species
AAAACCCGCUGGACUUAGCGCAGUCCGAUCCUCCACUAAGACUACGUUCCCUCAAGCCUUGUGCUGUGCCGACUAUUUACGCCGCCCUGUGUUUUGCUCCGGAAUAUGCUUCAUUGCCCAAGCGUCCUCGACGACAGUCGUGCUCAGACACGGAGCUUGAGCCAGCUGCCCCCAAUCCCGCGUCGAUGGACCUCAACGCUGACUACGAGAUAAACGAGGCUGCAAAUGCAGCAAGUCAAGUAAA